AACGCACAUUGCGCCCGCUAGUAUUCUGGCGGGCAUGCCUGUUCGAGCGUCAUUACAGCCCUCAAGCACUGCUUGGCUUUGGGAUAUUGCUCUCUUGUAGCAAGUCCUCAAUAUCAUUGGCGAGAUUCCUCAGACUCGAGCACAGUAAAAAUGCUUGCUUGGAGAAUGAGAUAGUCUCUGCCAUCAAUUUGCUGCAAAGCACAAUCUUUGACCUCGGAUCAGGUAGGAAUACCCGCUGAACUUAA
rnacentral:misc_RNA from 1 species